GGAUGUGAGGUCGAUCUGGCUGCGACAUCUGUCACCCCAUUGAUCACCAGGGUUGAUUCGGCUGAUGUGGCUGGCUAGACAGGUGUUUCCUUCCUCCCUCACUGCUCCAUGUGCGUCCCUUCCAAAGCUGUGAGCUUUGUCGAAGAGGACGGCCUUCCCUGAAUAGAGACAGCUGGUCCUUGGUCGAGGGUAUAGGAGUAGCAGCGCUCCCCUGCUAGAACCUCCAAACAAGCUCUCAAGGAAGUCAAGGACAAAUCUGUGGAACAUCUGAUUGUCCACUAGAGGUACUUGGUCAUAUC
rnacentral:snRNA from 1 species